rnacentral:lncRNA from 10 species
ACAGAUCAACUAGCAGUGAAGGCGAGUUCCAGUUCCUCCAUGUCCUCGCCAACACUUUCAGCAACUUUAAAAGGAGCACAGAGGAAAGGCCAGGUGAGGACCCAAUGAGAAGGCUGCUGUCUGCAAGCCAGGAAGAGAGGUCUCACCAGAAACUCAUCCUGCUGGUGCUUUGAUCUGGGACUUACAGUCUGCAUACUAUGAUACAAUAAAUUCCUGUUAAGACGCUCAAUCUAUGGCUUCCUGUUACGACAGCCUGAGCAGAUUGAGACAGCAUCCCCAGAAAGGAUCUAGCUGGAGCAUUGAGCUCCUCUGCUCUCCUAUCCCUUCCAAAUCUCAUAUUCUUACCCUUUCUUACCCUGUCUCGUCGGCCAGAAAAUGUGUUGCAAUUUGGUUGUAAGAAUAAAGAUGAAGUCUAACAAUAGAUUUAGAAAAAAUAGUUACGUUCAUAAGAGAUUCAUAGCUGUAAUAUACAAAGAGCUCUUAAAAAUUAAUAAAAAGAUAACCGAACAAAACAACAGGCAAAUAUGAAUAAGCAGCUCACAGAGGAGCAAAUCUAAAUGGCCAAUAAACACAUUAAGAAAUGCUCAAGCUCACUGGAAAAUACAAAUUAAAGCAGCAUUGAGUUACCACUUUCUAC